CCUACGGGGGGCAGCAGUGGGGAAUAUUGGACAAUGGGCGAAAGCCUGAUCCAGCCAUGCCGCGUGUGUGAAGAAGGCCUUCGGGUUGUAAAGCACUUUCAGUGGGGAAGAAAGCCUUGGGGCUAAUACCCUCGAGGAAGGACAUCACCCACAGAAGAAGCACCGGCUAACUCCGUGCCAGCAGCCGCGGUAAUACGGAGGGGUGCGAGCGUUAAUCGGAAUUACUGGGCGUAAAGCGCGCGUAGGCGGUCUGAUAAGCCGGUUGUGAAAGCCCCGGGCUCAACCUGGGAACGGCAUCCGGAACUGUCAGGCUAGAGUGCAGGAGAGGAAGGUAGAAUUCCCGGUGUAGCGGUGAAAUGCGUAGAGAUCGGGAGGAAUACCAGUGGCGAAGGCGGCCUUCUGGACUGACACUGACGCUGAGGUGCGAAAGCGGGGGUAGCAAACAGGAUUAGAUACCCCAGUAGUC
rnacentral:rRNA from 1 species